UGAGUCAGCUCAUAGGAGGCCACGGAUCCUACAGGAGAGAAAACGGGAGAGAAAAGGCUUGAAACUGAGGAGCUGAACUCCAAGUAAAUCUUCCCACGUGCCUGGCCUGGACACAGAUCCAGGGAUGAAAGAGCCCUAAGGCAGUUAUGAUGUCCUGCCCAUGUGGCCAUUCCUUGUCCUGCGUGGAGAUGGCCAGGGACUGACUUACAAUGGCGACUGAGGGAUUAUUCUGAGAUCUAAGGUGACACCGUAAGGCUGGCACACAUGCAGGGACCUGCCAUUGCUUCUGAGUGGUGCUUUCCACAAUCAAACUUCACCCUUGUCAUGUGCACACGGAGUGUUGAAAGACUCAGGAGAUGCUGUCCCUGAUUCCCUGGUCUGCAGACUGCUGGUG
rnacentral:lncRNA from 1 species